UAGAAAUAAAACUGCAAAAGCAUUCCAGGAGAGCUUAGGGGGCAGAGUAUCAACAUGUGCUGGUUACCUGGAUCUAAGGUCCCUUUGAAUCUAAACCAAACCUGUGGAUUCAGAUUCUCUUAACUGCUCAAAGAUUUGGAAAUGAGAUGAUUCAAGUCAAAAUGCGUGUUCAGAGAUGAAUUUUGCAAGUUUCCCUUAGCUUUUGACUCGCAAGAACGCUGCAAACAGACAUUGGAAAAACUUCGGCUUUCAGUUUGAGUUUGGCAUGUUGUUGUUUGGCUCUUGCACACUGGUUACCUGUUCACAUUUACCGUAAAUAAUGACUAGAAACCUAACCUGCAGCUAGACUGUUGAAGUAACUUCUGGAAGGGUUUGUUUCCUUCUCUUUCCCCCACCCCCUUAAGACUUUUUGUCUUAUGGGAUUUGUUUGCAAUCUGCUAGCUGAAGCUCUGAGGCAAGUUUGCUGGAUCUGGGGCUGCAUCAUCGUUCGGCACAUCUGGAAGUGGUUUAUGGGCUCUCAUUCCUCCAGUGCGGCGUCUGGACUCUGUGCUAUUCCUCAGCAGCAGAGAAAGAAAAGAAAACCAGCACAACUCCAAAGUAAACUUUGAAGAGUUUGAAAAAGGAAUUGAAUCUUAAAACUGUUACUGUGCCCUGUAAGGCCCUUGUGCGGGGGACUUCAAAGGAGGAUGAUGGUCAAGGAAGCUUUGGCAAGAGUGCUUACAGCUGUGGGCUAUCUAGGAUCCGAGUAAAUAGCUCUACAGCUCUUCAGGAGAGAGGAGUCCUGAAUACUGUGCUGCUUUGAAGAGAUCACAGUUCUCAUCCAACAGGACACAUGGCUCUUUUAAAGAAAAUUAACCAGAUCUUACUGUUACUACUUGUCUUAACUGUGUGCGCCAUUCUGUAUAACAAAGUUCACCAAGUGCCAUCUGCAUUAAAGAAUGAAACAGUUGAUUUGGAGAGUCCUGAGGAAAUAGAAGAAGAAAUCCCAGUUGUAAUCUGCGCUGCUGCAGGCAGAAUGGGUGCAGCUAUAGCAGCAAUCAGUAGCAUCUACAGCAACACAGAGGCUAAUGUUUUGUUCUACAUAGUUGGGCUGAAGACUACCAUCCCGCAUAUUCGAAAAUGGAUUGAAAAUUCUAAACUGAAAGAAAUAAAAUUUAAGGUUGUGGAAUUCAACCCUAUGGUACUAAAAGGAAAAAUCAGACAAGAUGCAUCACGUCCUGAGCUACUGCAGCCUCUGAACUUCGUUCGAUUUUAUCUUCCUUUGCUUAUCCAGAAACAUGAGAAAGUAAUAUAUUUGGAUGAUGAUAUCAUUGUUCAAGGUGACAUCCAGGAACUCUACGAUACUAAGUUAGCUCCUGGACAUGCUGCAGCUUUUUCAGAUGAUUGUGAUCUGCCUUCUACACAUGAAAUGGUUAGAAGUGUAGGGAUGCAGAACACAUACAUGGGAUUCCUGGACUACAGAAAGCAAGCAAUUAGAGAUCUUGGCAUCAGCCCCAGCACCUGCUCCUUUAAUCCUGGAGUAAUUGUUGCUAACAUGACGGAAUGGAAACAUCAACGGAUUACAAAGCAGUUGGAAAAGUGGAUGCAAAGAAAUGUAGAGGAAAACCUCUACAGCAGCACCCUUGGGGGAGGCGUGGCAACCUCUCCAAUGCUGAUUGUAUUUCAUGGAAAGUAUUCCACUAUUAAUCCUAUGUGGCACAUAAGGCAUCUUGCUAUGCCAAGAAGUUAAAAGUGUUAAGAGAGAGGAAACUUGCUGAGAUUUUUUGCUGAUGCAGCGUUAGAGGCAUGAAGCUGAGAAAAGCUACUCUAUCAUACAACUAGUUGUCUAUUAACAGGUUGGAGUCCUGAUAGCCGUUACUCGGAGCAUUUUCUUCAGGAAGCUAAAUUAC